rnacentral:rRNA from 1 species
AUUGAACGCUGGCGGCAGGCUUAACACAUGCAAGUCGAGCGGUAACAGGAAUGGCUUGCUAUUUGCUGACGAGCGGCGGACGGGUGAGUAAUGCUUGGGAAUAUGCCUUAUGGUGGGGGACAACAGUUGGAAACGACUGCUAAUACCGCAUAAUGUCUACGGACCAAAGGGGGGGAUCUUCGGACCUCUCGCCAUUUGAUUAGCCCAAGUGAGAUUAGCUAGUUGGUAAGGUAAUGGCUUACCGAGGCGACGAUCUCUAGCUGGUUUGAGAGGAUGAUCAGCCACACUGGGACUGAGACACGGCCCAGACUCCUACGGGAGGCAGCAGUGGGGAAUAUUGCACAAUGGGGGGAACCCUGAUGCAGCCAUGCCGCGUGUGUGAAGAAGGCCUUCGGGUUGUAAAGCACUUUCAGUUGUGAGGAAAGGUGUGUAGUUAAUAGCUGCAUACUGUGACGUUAACAACAGAAGAAGCACCGGCUAACUUCGUGCCAGCAGCCGCGGUAAUACGAGGGGUGCAAGCGUUAAUCGGAAUUACUGGGCGUAAAGCGUUCGUAGGCGGUUGAAUAAGCAAGAUGUGAAAGCCCAGGGCUCAACCUUGGAACUGCAUUUUGAACUGUUCGACUAGAGUACUGUAGAGGGGGGUAGAAUUUCA